AAAGAUUCGUUUGUGGCGACUGAUGAAUUGUCACCACUAAUAUGAGGUUGUUGUAGCGACUUGGAAGCCGCCCCUAGAUAUACCCAUCUAUUGUGGCAGCGAAGUCGCCACUAAUAAUUUUGAUUUUAAAAUGAAAGAUUACAAAAACAAACCCUAGACAAACGAGAAAAAACACCCCCAAAAUCAUUUUCUACAAUACACUUCUCAACAAAGUUCCAUCGGCUGCGAAAUUCUGGAUCCUCUAUCCCUUUGCUGUGACCGGCAAACUCAUCGACAAUUCCUUUACCGGUAAAUAUUUCCGUCGGUUCUUCUCUCUCUAUCGCUCUCUUCCCUUUUAGAUUUCUUACCUUUGUCUCUGUUUUAACUGUGAAUCUUAGUUCGUGCAAAUAUAAAUAAGUUCUUCUAUUCUGUUUCUUCUUUGCCUUCUUAUAUCUUGAAGUCUUUCAACUCUAUAGGGAAAAAAACCCCUUUCUAAAAGUUUUUGCUAUUUUCUUAACCUAAAUAAAAAUGGCGAGAGAGGGACUAGAUGAAAAUUGGAAGGAGUAAUUGACAAUUAUGGAGUACAAUUAAGAUAUUUCACCCUCGGUAUGAGACGAUAUUUUCUUGGCAAAGCAUGAGAAUAUUUUAUCAAUAUUUUCUUGACAAAGAAUGUGGACAAGUGUCCUUUCUAUGAUACUUUCCGAAAAAAUGGAGUUCCUCUCAAUUUAUUGCUUGUAGCUGAUGAUUUUGCAUCUUAAUUUUUGGGAGUAGGUUGGUGGUAUUAGAUCUCACUAUCUGUUAAAUAAACUGGAGAUCUCUAUUUUGAUUGCUAAAGUAAAUUACAAUAUUUUGUAUUGGAACAUAAAUUGGUUUCUGCUUAAAUUGAAAUGGCUUACUAGAGAAGGGUGAUGCUUAAUUGAAAUUGUUGUUGGUUCAUUGUGCCCUAUAACAGAUCCUCAUUUGGAUGUGCAUAUAGUGUUUCCAAUUAUUCAUGUCGUAAAAUAUUAAAAAUUCUACACGCAUGAAAAUAUUUUCCUAAUGUUCAGUUAUACGGACCAUCGGUGAUGAUUGCCGAGUUUAAGCAGAUAGUACCUGAUUUUAAGAAGCAAAUGCUGAUAUCAUCAGCAUUUACUGUAAGCAAUCUUCCACCAUUAAAUUAUAUUAUAGAAUAAAUUAGAAAAUGCCUUGGUUUGUUUGAAGCUCCCUUUAUUACAAUUGGUGUUGACUUCUGUUCACUUUUUAUUAAAAUUUGAACUUGAAAUCUGGUAAAUCAAGCAAUAUUUAAUUAUAGAUGUGAUUCAUUUCAGAUAGGAAAGAAAUUAUUGCCAAAUAUUGAAAUCUUGUAUCUACAUUCCAUGAAACAAUAGUCAAUAUGUAUAAUCAACUAAAGAUAAGAUAAUUUCUUUAUUUUUGUUUUAUUCUUUUUAAUAGUCUACAGAAUUUGAAACUUUGUCUGGCAAAUCGUAUGUUCAACCUUGCUUUUGUUCUUCUAGUUGGUGGGUUUAUUAAAUUUUGUGCUAGCUCUUAGUCUAUUGUAUUUGGGUGGAGAUGCACUUUAAUUUUUUUUGCCUCUUCCAUGAGUGUUUUCCUUUUCAUAUGCUUGACAAAGUACAAAUUUUUAACACAAAGUUACUCCUUGAUUUGAAUAUCUUGGCAUAAGUUUAUGAUUUGAGAGAGAUUGAUAUGCAGUUAAAGCUAUUUUAAAAAUGUACAACUGUAAAUUUAUUUUGCACAGUUAAGAAAUGGAAGGGCAGAUGCCAUGUGAUAACAGUUCUAGGUCAUUAUCAAAAUUAUGAUUUUUGACUUUGUCUCAAGUAAAAGAUGACAUUUUGUUGGUAACAUACCAAAAUAUAAUUUUUCUCUUUGUCCUAAGUGUAUUAAGCCUUUCAUUAAAUAGAAAUUGAAAUUUUCCUUUCCUUACGACAUAGUUAAGACUUUUCAUGUUUUUAACGACUUAGACGAGUUUUGAGAUAGGUUGACAUGUGAUUUCCUUCCUUUCCUUCUGAUUUUUAUUAAUUACCAUUUCCUUAUGACAUGUGACAUAGGAAAUUCAACCAUUUUCUUCUUGUAUCUUGUAGUUAGUUAUAGAAAAGUUGUUAGGCCAGGAGGAGUGCCUAUAUGAACUGACUAUGUCAAUGCAAUAUAAGUUGCAUAUGCCUUAUUAUCUACUCUGAGCUCAUGUUUGCUUAUGACCUUUUUUCCUUACAUAUUUAAAUAGAAGGAUAAAUCAUAUCACAACUAAUGCUAUUUGGCAUGAUUUCCGAUCUUAAACCAAAGAGAAAAUACUACUCUAGUAGAUUUCACUUUUUUAUGCAAAAUCCUUAUUACAGAGAAGUACUUAACAAACCAGAUUCAUAGGAAAACAUCUUGGGAAGUUACUGGUAUAUGCUAUUUUUUUCUUUAGUAUCAAAAUCUGUUAAUAAAAUUAUUUUCGUUCACUGAACACCAGAUAUGUUUCAGUAAGUUUCAUAAUACACAGUAAAAUUUAGCUUAAAUUUCUCGCUUACUCUGUUGUUGAUCACCAUAUAAAGGUUCCAUUGCUGACAAGAUAGCAUAGUGUGAGUUUAUAGCUUGAGAUAAGAACUAGAAGGAAAAUGUAAUUAAUGUUCCUUCUACUAGAUAUAACUGAAUAUGUGUCUGGAUCUUUUGGCUGCACAGACAAUUUUACGUUCAAAACUUAAUAUUACUCAUUCCAUUAGGCUUACAAUGAAAAUUCAAUCAAACUUGAAAAAGUCUUUUACACCUUCGGGAAAGCAUACCGGAAGACCCAACUUUCGCUUAAAAUGCCAGUUUGGAUGAGUGUGAAUUUUUUGAAAGACAUUCACUUGCCAUGGUUCUCUCUGAUUGUAGUAGACCUUUCCUUUUCAUAUGCUUUCCUUUAGUACUUGGCUUAAGAUCAACUCUUUUUUGUAUGCAUGCAUAUAUUACUGUUAUUCUUUAUUUUUUUAAUAGCAAGGAGAUAGUACUUCAACAAAAUUAAGUUGCUCAAGGAGUAGCCUGAAGACAUUAGAGUAACUUGAAGAUAUUGGAAUAGUUUGAAGACGUAUUCCUUUGGGUUUGUUUCUUAAAAUAGCGAAGGAUAAGGUUAUUCAAUAAGUAGGAGUUCGAACACAUUUGAUGUUAUUUUUUCCAUGUGUAUGUGCAGUGACAGUGUAUUAUAGAGCGUAAUGUACUUUGUUGCAGACUAUUUGGUAAUGAAAAGUUUCUAUACAGUUUUAUUUAAGAGUAUCCAUGGUGUUCAUUAUAAUGAUAAUGCUAUUGGUAAAUUAGCAAGAAUACUAUUGGCUAUUGCAUUAUUAUUAUUUUUGUAAAAACAAAGAGGCUUUAGUGGCGACUCUAGCUACCACAAAAAGAAAAUCCUACUGUGGCAACAAGAAAAAUGCUACUGAAUGUCAUUUAUAGCGACUACAGUCGCCACUAUAUGUCACUAUUUAGUAACGACCCGCCUAAAUUAAAUUUUGUGAAACAUGUUUUUGAGGCCACCUCAGUCUCUACAAAAUGUGUAGUAUUUGUGGCGACUCUCUAGAGUUGCCACAAUAAACGUUCAAUAACGGUAGUGCUUGGAGCGAGCCCAUAGUCGCUGCUAAAAACUAGUGGCGACUUUCUUACCAUUUGUGGCGACAUUAGCUGCCGCAAAAAGGCCGAUUUCUUGUAGUACGGGGCGGGUUAGGUGCCAUCACGACUAGUUUGAUUUUGGGUCGUGACAGAAAUUGAUUAUGGAAUUGAGAAUAAAUUAUAUAUUUUAGUUCAUGAGAUCAUGGGUAAAAAUUAUCUUCGAACAUUUUCGGAAUCCGGGCACGUGGGCCGGAGCCUCGGUGAUGAUUAUUAUGUACAUUCUGAAUUGAGUUGGAAAAUUACUCUAAUAGAUGAAUUAUGAACUUUUGAGCAUAUAUUGAUUAGUUUGUACGACUUUUGAUUAGUUUCGGAUUGCUCAACGUCGUUUGGGGAUUUCUAGUGAGGUUUAAGAGUCGGGUAGUGAGUUUGGAAGAGAGGUAAGUCUAUUGCCUAAUCUUUUAAGAGGGAAUCAUCCCCAUGAGUGUAUUAAUCGUUGUGUGCUACUUGUUGUGGGAGCUACGUACUCACAAGGUGACAAGAGUUUAUACGUAGCUAGAUUCAUGCUUAUGUUCGGGUAGACUUAGAUUCACAUCAUGCUUUAAAUGUACUAUUUGGAUUAAUCUUGUUUGUUUGAUUUUUUUAAUUUACGACUGAGAUUGAGACUAGAAUAAAAUUAAUGAUCAAGCCUCUUACCUUGGAAAUUGUGAAAUAUUAAUGAAUGAUAGUUCCGUGUCUUCACGACUCGCAUGUAUUUUCGCGAGUGAGAGAGUUUCUCUAUUCUUAUGGGAUCGGGCCGUUCGCCUCGGCAGUGUUAUAAGUUAUUCUUAUGGGAUCGGGCCAUUUGGCUCGGCAGAAUUAUGUAACAUUAUUCUAAUAGGAUCGGACCAUUCGCCUCGGCGGUGUUAUGUAACACUAUUCUUAGGAGAUCGGGCCAUUCACCUCGGCAGUAUUGUGUAACACUAUUCUUAUGGGAUCGGGUCGUUCACCUCGGCAUACUUGUGUGUGACACUUGGGAUUGAUUUGGUAUUGAUAUCAGUUGAUUUUGUUCCUUCGGGUCUAGUUAGGACAUCUUAGUGAUUUUGUAAGGAUCCAUGUUGGAAAUUUAUUAUUAAAGUUUAUCUGUUUCGUUGUUACUUGUUGCAUUUCAUACCUGUCUAUUUUAUAUAUUUUUAUUAUUUUGACCACUAGUAAGUGUCAAGUCGACUCAUCAUCACUACUUCUUCGAGGUUAUACUAGAUACUUACCGGGUAUGCGUUGAUUUACGUAUUCAUGCUACACUUCUGCACUGAUUGUGCAGGUACUGAUUCAGGUACUUCCAGUGGUCACACGAGCGCGUAAACGCAUCAGGGAGACUUAGUGGUGAGCUGCCUUCCAUACAUCAAUCUGCAGCACUCGGAGUCUUCCUCUAUCUUAUUCACUGUUUCUGUCUAUUUCAUUUCAUACAAUAGCUAUAGUAGUUAUGUAUAUUCCCUAUAUUGCUCAUGCACUUGUGACAUCGGGUUUUGGGGGCUUCUAUUGGACUUUCACAGUUGUACUUAUUGUUACUAUCACUUUACUUUAUGUACUAUUCGUACCCGUUAUUUUUGUAAAGUAGUGCUUAUGUUUCUAUGAGUUUUAUGUUUAAUUUAUAUUUAUUUAAAUGAAAUUUUCUAAGUUUAAA
rnacentral:lncRNA from 1 species